rnacentral:rRNA from 1 species
AUUGAACGCUGGCGGCAUGCCUUACACAUGCAAGUCGAACGGCAGCACGGGUGCUUGCACCUGGUGGCGAGUGGCGAACGGGUGAGUAAUACAUCGGAACAUGUCCUGUAGUGGGGGAUAGCCCGGCGAAAGCCGGAUUAAUACCGCAUACGAUCUACGGAUGAAAGCGGGGGACCUUCGGGCCUCGCGCUUUAGGGUUGGCCGAUGGCUGAUUAGCUAGUUGGUGGGGUAAAGGCCUACCAAGGCGACGAUCAGUAGCUGGUCUGAGAGGACGACCAGCCACACUGGGACUGAGACACGGCCCAGACUCCUACGGGAGGCAGCAGUGGGGAAUUUUGGACAAAGGGCGAAAGCCUGAUCCAGCAAUGCCGCGUGUGUGAAGAAGGCCUUCGGGUUGUAAAGCACUUUUGUCCGGAAAGAAAUCCUUGGCCCUAAUACGGUCGGGGGAUGACGGUACCGGAAGAAUAAGCACCGGCUAACUACGUG